UACGUAGGGUGCGAGCGUUAAUCGGAAUUACUGGGCGUAAAGCGUGCGCAGGCGGUUUUGUAAGCCAGAUGUGAAAGCCCCGGGCUUAACCUGGGAAUGGCAUUUGGGACUGCAAGGCUUGAGUGCGGCAGAGGGGGGUGGAAUUCCGCGUGUAGCAGUGAAAUGCGUAGAGAUGCGGAGGAACACCGAUGGCGAAGGCAGCCCCCUGGGCUGACACUGACGCUCAGGCACGAAAGCGUGGGGAGCAAACAGG
rnacentral:rRNA from 1 species